rnacentral:misc_RNA from 1 species
AAGUCGUAACAAGGUUUCCGUAGGUGAACCUGCGGAAGGAUCAUUAUUACGUAUCCACGUAUCAAACCAAAUCGUGAACUUGUGUCCCAUCUGGUGAGGGUUUUCUGCGAGUGUUUCUCGAUUCUGGCACGGUGGAGAGAACUUAAAGGGUUAUCCUCACGGAAGCCUUUUACAUGUUCUCAGAGAACCUCGGUACCUGGGACAGGCGACCUUCGGGCUACCUGGACUCAGCUCCCUGGAUGUGGUUAUUUUACCAUCUGCUGUGCCAAACAAUUAUUAACCCCUUGUAACAAAAUUUGAACUAACAUACGCUGAGCAACUUAACGGUUCUCAGUGGACAACCGAAACUUAAGAACAACUCUUAACAACGGAUAUCUUGGUUCUC